rnacentral:tRNA from 1 species
GCGCCCGUAGCUCAUCCGGAUAGAGCGCCGGUUUCCUAAACCGGAGGUAGCAGGUUCAAGUCCUGCCGGGCGCACCA